rnacentral:rRNA from 1 species
CGGCAACAGCUCAAAUUUGAAAUCUGGCUUAGGCCCGAGUUGUAAUUUGCAGAGGAUGCUUUUGAUGCAGCGCUUUCUGAGUUCCCUGGAACGGGACGCCAUAGAGGGUGAGAGCCCCGUAUAGUUAGACGCUAAGUCUCUGUAAAGCUCCUUCGAC